ensembl:lncRNA
AUGAGCACAUUUAAAUGGAUUUUUCUUCAUUUGCAUUCUCACGCGCCGCUUUUUGUCCCACAGAACUGUUCCAAAAUGGGCGACAGCAACCCAGUCAAUGAAGAAGUGGAGAACUUUAACAAGAAGAAGCUCAAGAAGACUAACACUCAAGAGAAAACCAGGCUCCCGACCAAGGAGGCCCUGAAUAGUCCGUCACCAAGGAGGCCCAGAAGCAGGCGCGGCCGGCAGCUUCACACCCGACCAGGAGAGCUCCGUCAGGUUGCACCGAGAGCAGGAGGAGCUUGUGUCAGGAGUCUGCAGCCUGUUUUAGCACUCGUUUACUUUAAAUUGAAGAGGAGAAGAAAGCCAUGAAAGAGACCAACUGAAACGCUUCUCCAGCCCUGCUGCAUUUACCGCUCGUCUUCCAAUCAGGAGUUCUGUCAUUCCGACCUGUUUUCCAUGUCGCCGUCGAAUGCUGUAUAAGAUGCCACUACGGGGAAAUAAUCCCAGUUAUAACGAUGCAAUGGGUGCAUUUCAUUGUGUUCAUUCUGUGGGCUUUAAUGUGGGUAGAUUGGUACUUGGAGUGUGGUAACAUCUAUAAAAAUUAUAAUGACUUACUCUCAGCAAAGCUUGCCUGUAAAUGGUGCCACUGAGAAAAUGUUGUGGAAAGAGAAGAUCAUAUUUUUGUUUUAAUAAAAUCAGCGUGUCAAAUGACUUUGUCUAUAUUCUUGUGUGGUCUGCUCUAGUCUAGUUUCAUGAAACAAUAAUUCUGUCUUAUUCAUGCAGGGUAAUGCAUAAAUACAUACAUACGUACCUGCAUUGUAUAUGCAUAAGUACAUGCAUACAUACAAAUGUACAUGCAUACAUUAUGUAUGUAUGUCUGCAUGUAUGUUUUUAAGUAUGCAGACAUACGUGCAGUUUAAGAUGAAGCUUCUAUUCAACCAAAACCCAUGCCUUCACAACAAGUCCAAGCCUACAGGGGGAAAAUAAGGAAUGCAUUGAGUAACAAAAAGAUCAAAUGUCAUAUUGUUAGCAAACGUUGAAGCCUAAAGUCAUAGUAAGUUUUGAGUGGCAUCCCAAGAAUGAGCUCUUUUGAAAGCUUGCAUCUCAUUGCACAGCAGCAGUCAUGUCUUUACUUGUGGUCGGGAAGCUUCGUAGAAACCUAUGCAGAAUGAGAUUUAGUGUCAAGCCCUACUUUUGUGGAAUGCUUAUGUUGAAGUAUGCUGUGUUUUUCCACACCGAGCCCGUUGAGACAUGCUUUGCACUGCAGCAUGCGUCUACUUGAUGGCAAAAUUAUUUCUCUUGCUGGCUUUAGUUAGAGUUGAGCUGCUCAGACGUACAGCAUCAAAACGAGCUCUUUAACAGAACAAUGGCUUUCAAGACUGAUUCUGAUUUAUUUCCCUAUGUUUGGAAAUCAGCUUGUAACUGAAAAACAAAAUGUUCCACCAGUGAUUAUCACAAGGAUAGUGUGCUUGUUGUUGGCUGUGUUUAAUUUAAUUAUCAGAAACACAUGAUCCCUGCCACUCACCAGGCAAGAUUUUACACAGUUCAGUCCCUCCUCGAGUUUAAUGCUGUCAACACAAAGUCAGCAUUUAAUUAGAAGCAGGUUUUACUUGAGCUGUACAUCACUGUUAUUAUGUAAAGUGCUAUGUGUCACAUCAGCUAUAUGAUUAGUUCAUAACCAAAAUUGUUUAAAAUGUUAUAAUUCAUCCUGAAUAACGUAGGAACUGUGAUCAUGGUCUGGAAAAGGAAAACCCACUACAGCUGACAAAAUAUGCCAAAGGUUGAGGUAUAAAAGAUUUUCGUACCCUCAUCACCCCUGAGCAACUUUUGCUAAAGUGUGUGUGUACACAAACCUUGUCAACAUGCUUGCUGUGCUGUUGACCUAGCAAAUAAGUUCCAAAAGCUAAAGUCAAUUUGUUUUAAAAGAGUGGAGGAAAUCAUCAAAUGAGCUUUUAUUACAGUGAUUUAGAAAAUAACUGAUUGUUGUGGAAAAGCUAAAAUGCAUGAGCAUUACUUUUCAGUGCAUGCAUGCAGAAGCUGUUGAGGAGGGGGGUAUCUUGUAAUUAUGAAAAAGAAUGCAGUGAAAUAUUUGAUUCAAAUAGUAGAAUAUGACUCAUUAAAUAGUUCAUCGUUUGCCCUUCUUUUAUUGUGUUUUGUGUAUUUUUUAGUGUGUUCUCUCAAAGCCUAUGCUCUGACUUUCAUGUUUUGUCUUUGUUAAAGCGUAAAAUACAAUAAAAUAAGAAACAAUUUGAUGUUUUGGGUGAAUUUUGAAUAUGGGAGAAACAGCGACACCCAGUGGUAACUGUGACACGAUAGUUUGUUGCAGUGUGACUUGUUGCCGUAGGGGGGCGCUAAAACACAGGAAACCCCGAAGGAAGAGGAGGCGGGCCGACAGCUCUGAUGCAGGUUCUCUUCACUCGGCUACAAGUCCCUCAUCAAGCUAGUUAGCCUUGCGACGUGCAGAACGGAGAGCGUUCCUGGUGAUGCGCUCAAUAUCAACAAAAGAGAAAAUGGAUUAGCUGUUUAGCAAUUUUAUUUUUCAUCUGUUUGGACAAUCAUUAAGAACCCGCUCACCGUUCCUGGGUGUAAAUUGGCGUCUACAUUCAUGCCGUCGCUGGUUCUCUGGAAAGGAGCAGUUUGAGCUCCGAGUGGCGGGCAGUCAGCGUCUCUGUGGGGACAACACGGCUCAGCCACCGGUACGGUUGGUUGUUGGUAGCCUGCUAGCAUUAGCAUUUAGAGACACAUUUACGUGACGGGAGUCAACACCGUCUGUUUCAUGAGUGUAGCAAAUGACUAACGAUGUGAGAUAACGACAGGCUGUAUGUGAAUAACGAGUUUAACUUCGAGCUAGCGUGGGAAACUGUGGUAAUAAAUAGGAAAUGCCAGCAUCACCGUGUCAGUUCAACUCAGAGCUGAUGUUUGCGUUGCUGGCCAACUUUUGCCCAGUUCACAAAAUCUUCUGGGACAUUUCUCUCUUGAACCCAGCGCAUAUUUG